rnacentral:rRNA from 1 species
UACGAAGGGGGCAAGCGUUGCCCGGAUUUAUUGGGCGUAAAGGGCGCGUAGGCGGCCACGCACGUCCGUUGUGAAAUCGCCCGGCUCAACUGGGCGGGGUCAGCGGAUACGGUGUGGCUAGAGCAAGCUAGGGGGCAAUGGAAUUCCCGGUGUAGUGGUGGAAUGCGUAGAUAUCGGGAGGAACACCAGUGGCGAAGGCGGUUGCCUGGAGCUUUGCUGACGCUGAUGCGCGAAAGCGUGGGGAGCGAUCCGG